GACUACUGGGGUAUCUAAUCCUGUUCGCUCCCCACGCUUUCGAGCCUCAGCGUCAGUUUCAGUCCAGUAAGUCGCCUUCGCCACUGGUGUUCUUCCUAAUAUCUACGCAUUUCACCGCUACACUAGGAAUUCCACUUACCUCUCCUGUACUCUAGCUUGAUAGUUUUAAAUGCAAUCCCGAGGUUAAGCCUCGGGCUUUCACAUCUAACUUACCAUGCCGCCUACUCUCCCUUUACACCCAGUAAUUCCGGAUAACGCUUGCCCCCUACGUAUUACCGCGGCUGCUGGCACGUAGUUAGCCGGGGCUUCUUAUUUAGGUACCGUCAUUUUUUUCGUCCCUAUUGAUAGAAGUUUACGAGCCGAAACCCUUCUUCCUUCACGCGGCGUUGCUGCAUCAGGCUUUCGCCCAUUGUGCAAUAUUCCCCACUGCAGCCCCCCGUAGG
rnacentral:rRNA from 1 species